GACGAACGCUGGCGGCGUGCUUAACACAUGCAAGUCGAACGGAAAGGCCCUGCUUUUGUGGGGUGCUCGAGUGGCGAACGGGUGAGUAACACGUGAGUAACCUGCCCUUGACUUUGGGAUAACUUCAGGAAACUGGGGCUAAUACCGGAUAGGAGCUCCUGCUGCAUGGUGGGGGUUGGAAAGUUUCGGCGGUUGGGGAUGGACUCGCGGCUUAUCAGCUUGUUGGUGGGGUAGCGGCUUACCAAGGCUUUGACGGGUAGCCGGCCUGAGAGGGUGACCGGCCACAUUGGGACUGAGAUACGGCCCAGACUCCUACGGGAGGCAGCAGUGGGGAAUAUUGCACAAUGCGCGGAAGCCUGAUGCAGCAACGCCGCGUGCGGGAUGAAGGCCUUCGGGUUGUAAACCGCUUUCGCCUGUGACGAAGCGUGAGUGACGGUAAUGGGUAAAGAAGCACCGGCUAACUACGUG
rnacentral:rRNA from 1 species